rnacentral:rRNA from 1 species
UACGUAGGGUGCAAGCGUUAAUCGGAAUUACUGGGCGUAAAGCGUGCGCAGGCGGUUUUGUAAGUCUGUCGUGAAAUCCCCGGGCUCAACCUGGGAAUUGCGAUGGAGACUGCAAGGCUAGAAUCUGGCAGAGGGGGGGUAGAAUUCCACGUGUAGCAGUGAAAUGCGUAGAGAUGUGGAGGAACACCGAUGGCGAAGGGCAGCCCCCUGGGUCAAGAUUGACGCUCAU